CAGCGGAGAAGGUGCCUGCGAACGGCACCAGGACCACAUACCUCCUUCCUGGCAGCCUUUGGCACAUGGACUUAGAAACCAGAAGCUGAGAUGGAGCCGGCUGGGUUCAGAAAUUGCCACUAGUUUAUAAGAGCUGUCAAUUCAGCCCGCCUGAGAUGGCCCCAGAAAGCCACCCACUACCCUGUCCUGAAUUCAGGCAAUGAGCAACUUGAAAUCAUACGAUGCAGAAGCAAAUCUACCACAACAGAAGGAACUGAAUUCAAAUCAAUUAACGCAUAACUGAUUGGCAACAAAUUGAAAAAGAUACCAGUUUCACAACCUGAUUUUAAAAGACAAGGUUACCCAGGAAUGAAAUUGAUUCUAGCUUUGGUUUCUGAAAAGGGCCUCAUGAACACUGUCAUAGCUAUGCUUUGAUAUAGCAUCACUGAUUUAUGGAAGAGGAAACUGAGGCUCAGAGAGGUUGAGAACUUCCUUCAAGGAGAAGCAGAACUGGACCUAACUCCAGGGCAGUUAGGCCCUAACCCUAAGAAGUUCUCAGAGAGGCUGAGAAUUCCUACAAUGGGAUAACAUCAUUAUUGUAAAACCUAAGAUCACUGCUUGAGAUAUUUUGUGGACCCUACUCUGGAUGGAUCAACUAACAUCACCCAGUCCUGUAAUCUGAACCAGCUCUGCCAUCGCACCCGGGAACAGAAGACAGUAAGGAAACCUCACUUCGACCUCUUGUGAAUCCAUCUGCAACCUGACCAGUCAGCACUCCCCACUUCCUAAGCUCCUACCCACCAAAUUGUCUUUAAAAACUCUGA